rnacentral:lncRNA from 1 species
CUCCUAACGCUUGGAUAAGGUGCCUAAAUUAUUCGCUUAUUAGAUCCCAUGAAAAGGUGUUGGUUCAUUAUGACAGUAGGACGGUGGUCAUGGAAGUCGAAAUCCGCUAAGGAGUGUGUAACAACUCACCUACCGAAUGAACUAGCCCUGAAAAUGGAUGGCGCUACAGCGGAUUACCGAUACCAAGCCAUAAAAAAAAAAAAUUAAAUAAAAUAAAAACUUUUUACUAUAUACAAAAAUGAGCGUACCGACAACCGCAUCAGGUCUCCAAGGUUAGUAGCCUCUGGUUAAGUAGAAAAAAGUAAGUAAGGGAAGUCGGCAAAAUAGAUCCGUAACUUUGGGAAAAGGAUUGGCUCUGAGGGCAUGGAGUUAAGAUGCGUAAUAAAAAAAAUUACAUACGUUAGUGAUAUAUUUAA